GUUUAUAUAAUUUAAUUAAAAUACUAGAUUGUGAUUCUAAAAACGAAAGUUUAACCCUUUCCAUAAACC
rnacentral:tRNA from 1 species